rnacentral:tRNA from 1 species
GCCCCAGUAGCUCAGUGGACAGAGCAGCUGCCUUCUAAGCAGCUGGCCGCGCGUUCGAAUCGCGCCUGGGGUA